rnacentral:rRNA from 1 species
AUGCGAUGGAUGGCUUUUGCAAACCCGACAUGUGGCGAUGUGGUUCAUGCCAACAGCAAAUAUGAUUGGCCGGUGCUGCCGACUGGCGUCAAGUUCGAUCCCGCGGAUCAGGAGCUGAUCGAGCACCUUGAGGCCAAAUUGAGUGCUGACAGCGCGAGAUCUCACCCUCUCAUCGAUUUGUUCAUACCAACCAUCGACAGCGAGCACGGCAUAUGCUACACCCAUCCUGAGAAACUUCCAGGUAUCACACUGAGUGGCCUAAGCAAGCAUUUCUUCCAGCGUAAUUCCAGGGCAUUCAAAACGGGCACGUGGAUGCGUCGCAAGAUACAGUCGGAGUGCGGCAUGCACGCGAUGUGGCACAACACCGGCAAUACCUUGCCGGUGAUGGUCAAUGGCCGGCAGACGGGCAGCAAAAAGGUUCUGGUGCUGCACACCAACAGGAACUUCGACCAGCUGAGGACCAACUGGGUGAUGCACCAGUACCACCUCGGGGACCUGGAGCAAGAGAAGGAGCGGGAGCUGGUCCUCUGCAAGAUUUUCUACCAGACGAACACUAGGGCUAGGAGUAAAAAGAUUAUAAGUUACUUUGGUAUUGGUACUUGUACUACCUUGUCGUCCGCAAAACCGCCUGCUCCCGCCUCUCGUGGCCGGCUAUGCUGCCGGGCAGGCCUCACGGCCCCAUCAUAUACUCGCAUCCCUGGCCUGUCUAUCCCUCUACUCACCCACACCUCCUGUUAUUUUUCGGCGACGGCAGCCGAACCAGCCAACCCUCGUACUCUCCACCGCGUGGGCAACCACUGUCGUGUCUUCCCCGGCUCCGUGUCGUUCCCUUCUGUGCAAGAAAGAAAAUACAUCCACGUACGUACAUACGGGCGGGGUCUCGAACGCCUACUCGCGCAUACUACGGCCAGGGCUCAAUGUCAUGCAGCUGCAUCUCCGGCCCGCCUAGGACGAAAAGCCCAUUUUCUGAAACAACAAUUAAAUAAUGACCCAUCCAAUAUGCAUAUUUGA